UACAGAGGUCUCAAGCGUUGUUCGGAUUCAUUGGGCGUAAAGGGUGCGUAGGCGGCGCGGUAAGUCCGGGUGUGGAAAUCUCGGAGCUUAACUCCGAAACUGCAUUCGAUACUGACCGUGCUUGAGGACUAGAGAGGGACAUAGAAUUCCGGGUGGAGUGGUGAAAUGCGUAGAUAUCCGGAGGAAUACCAAAGGCGAAGGCAGUGUCCUGGCUAGUAACUGACGCUGAGGUGGCGAAAGCUAGGGGAGCGAACAGG
rnacentral:rRNA from 1 species